rnacentral:rRNA from 1 species
UGGGGAAUCUUCCGCAAUGGACGCAAGUCUGACGGAGCGACGCCGCGUGGAUGAUGAAGGCCUUCGGGUUGUAAAGUCCUUUCGAAUGGGAAUAAGUGCAAUAGACGAAUAGUUCUAUUGUUUGACUGUACCAUAGGAAGAAGCUACGGCUAACUCUGUGCCAGCAGCCGCGGUAAUACAGAGGUAGCAAGCGUUGUCCGGAUUUACUGGGCGUAAAGGACGUGUAGGCGGCCAUAUAAGUCAGGUGUGAAAUCGUUCUGCUCAACAGGACAAUUGCAUUUGAUACUGUUUGGCUUGAGUGCAGGAGGGGAAAAUGGAAUUUCCGGUGUAGCGGUGAAAUGCGUAGAUAUCGGAAAGAACACCCGUGGCGAAGGCGGUUUUCUGGCCUGCAACUGACGCUGAGGCGUAAAAGCUAGGGGAGCAAACGGG